UUGAACGGAUUAGGGUGGAUUGGAUGGGAUUUAAAGGUAAUGAUGGUGUUGUCAGUGAAUUGUCUUAAGAUCCAUGGGAUUGGGAUCAGAUUACCGACUCUGUUUGGCACGCCCGGCCAAUCCCGGGAUUUAACUUCCAAUCCCUUCCAAUCCGACCGGCCAAACGGGCCCUAAGGUUUUGGAUGCUUCUUGUACAUGCCUGACUAGCAACGAAAUCCACUUCAAGAAUAUCAGGUGAUGACUUUUGUUUGCUUUUUCUUUCUAAACUUUUUCAUACUUGGUGUGUUUUUCUUACUGGUUUUCUUUUAAAAGGCCAAUUUUUGUUUCCUUUGUUGCUUAUGAUUUGCAAUACCUACCAACAAGCAAUUGAGUAGGGGUUGUAUUGUGGUGCUUGUAAGCCUUGUAGCACCGUAUAGUUUGAUACAAUGACAAUUUAUUAAUGUGA